UGCGUGCCCACCCAGGCUGGCCCUGAGCAGGCCAGUGCGCCCUCCAGUCUCACUCUCUCCCUAUGCUGGGUUCCCCUCGGGACCCACACCCGCGGAGAGUGAAGGAGUAACAUGGACUCACUCUAGUCAAGCUGCUCAGUCACUAAAGCCAAGUUGGCUGAGGCCUGAGGCAACGAUUCUGUGCUCAUUUUAACCGGUCUGGGAGCGUAACCUUCGGCAUUUUCCCGGCCUGUGUCAGUGCCUCCUAUACCCCCGAUUACCCCCGGAGGCCUCACUACGCCUUGACCUGACAUCCAUCACCCAGACACGGUGUGACCAGACCACCCGGGUCUGACGGCGCCCUCCUGGACGGUGGGUCCUGGCACUCUCCAGAGUGCACUCGUACCAGGACGCUUAACUUUCCUUCUUACUCGGAAACACUUCUGGGGUUUUGCCUAGUUAUGCUUCCAGUUUGCAAACCUGUGAAUAAAUCUUUAUCGUGUAUUUCUA